AAUGUGUUAAUAUAUAGUAGAUAAAAUCUGCAUUGGCUAUUUUAUCAUUAGGAAUAAAUCCUAAAACACUAUCAGG
rnacentral:tRNA from 1 species